UAACCUGCCCAAGAGAUCGGGAUAACACCUGGAAACAGAUGCUAAUACCGGAUAACAACAGAUGAUGCCUAUCAACUGUUUAAAAGAUGGUUCUGCUAUCACUCUUGGAUGGACCUGCGGUGCAUUAGCUAGUUGGUAGGGUAACGGCCUACCAAGGCGAUGAUGCAUAGCCGAGUUGAGAGACUGAUCGGCCACAUUGGGACUGAGACACGGCCCAAACUCCUACGGAGGCAUCAGGA
rnacentral:rRNA from 1 species